AGUGAACGCUGGCGGUAGGCCUAACACAUGCAAGUCGAACGGCAGCACAGUAAGAGCUUGCUCUUACGGGUGGCGAGUGGCGGACGGGUGAGGAAUACAUCGGAAUCUACUUUUUCGUGGGGGAUAACGUAGGGAAACUUACGCUAAUACCGCAUACGACCUACGGGUGAAAGCAGGGGAUCUUCGGACCUUGCGCGAUUGAAUGAGCCGAUGUCGGAUUAGCUAGUUGGCGGGGUAAAGGCCCACCAAGGCGACGAUCCGUAGCUGGUCUGAGAGGAUGAUCAGCCACACUGGAAUUGUGACACGGUCCAGACUCCUACGGGAGGCAGCAGUGGGGAAUAUUGGACAAUGGGCGCAAGCCUGAUCCAGCCAUACCGCGUGGGUGAAGAAGGCCUUCGGGUUGUAAAGCCCUUUUGUUGGGAAAGAAAAGCAGCAGGUUAAUACCCCGCUGUUCUGACGGUACCCAAAGAAUAAGCACCGGCUAACUUCGUG
rnacentral:rRNA from 1 species